rnacentral:rRNA from 1 species
UACGGAGGGUGCAAGCGUUAAUCGGAAUUACUGGGCGUAAAGCGUGCGUAGGCGGUCUUUUAAGUCGGAUGUGAAAUCCCCGGGCUCAACCUGGGAACUGCAUCCGAUACUGGGGGACUAGAAUUUGGGAGAGGGGAGUGGAAUUUCCGGUGUAGCGGUGAAAUGCAUAGAGAUCGGAAGGAACACCAGUGGCGAAGGCGGCUCCCUGGACCAAAAUUGACGCUGAGGCACGAAAGCGUGGGUAGCAAACAGG